UGACGAGCGGCGGACGGGUGAGUAAUGCAUAGGAAACUGCCCAGUAGUGGGGGAUAGCCCGGGGAAACCCGGAUUAAUACCGCGUACGCCCUUCGGGGGAAAGCAGGGGAUCUUCGGACCUUGCGCUAUUGGAUGUGCCUAUGUCGGAUUAGCUAGUUGGUGGGGUAAAGGCCUACCAAGGCGACGAUCCGUAGCUGGUCUGAGAGGAUGAUCAGCCACAUCGGGACUGAGACACGGCCCGAACUCCUACGGGAGGCAGCAGUGGGGAAUAUUGGACAAUGGGGGCAACCCUGAUCCAGCCAUGCCGCGUGUGUGAAGAAGGCUUUCGGGUUGUAAAGCACUUUCAGUGAGGAGGAAAAGUUGGUCGUUAAUACCGGCCAGCCUUGACGUUACUCACAGAAGAAGCACCGGCUAACUCCGUGCCAGCAGCCGCGGUAAUACGGAGGGUGCAAGCGUUAAUCGGAAUUACUGGGCGU
rnacentral:rRNA from 1 species